UUUCCGUAGGUGAACCCGCGGAAGGAUCAUUAAAGAGUAAGGGUCUUCGGGCCCGAUCUCCAACCCUUUGUUUAACUACCAUGUUGCUUUGGCGGGCCCGUCUCACGACCGCCGGAAGUUUGGCUUCGACCAAACUUCUGGCCCGUGCCCGUCAGUGGCCCCUUCAAAUUCUUGAUCAAGUAUGAUGUCUUAGUUAAAAACUUAAUAGUUAAAACUUUCAACAACGGAUCUCUUGGUUCUG
rnacentral:misc_RNA from 1 species